rnacentral:lncRNA from 1 species
GCUGAGAUCUGGCCAUGGAGGUCGUAGAUCGCCUGGUGGAUACCUUUCAGGGAGGCAUCAGGUUGGGAUCUGAUCAGAGAAGAAGAAGAAGAUGUCAAAGAAGAUGAUCGGAGACAGUCCCGUUGAGUAUUUCUUUAAGAACAAGGGUCCUGCGAAGACACAGUCCCUUCCUCUAGCGCCAAUUCUGUUGGUGCAGAAUUUCACCAAUGUCGGAGAAGCUGGAGUCGAGGGGAUCACGGCUGCCAUCGGGACCUG